GCGGCCGCCGAGUCCGUCCACAUCGCCAGGCCAGGAGUCAGAACAAGGACGGGCCUGUGAUGUGUCUGUCUAUGACGAGGAGGACAAUGUCCUAAGGAAUGGAGAGGAAGAAAGUGAAGGGAACCAGGUCCCUGGAUUCCAUGUGGAACAGUAGCCCAGGAUGUGCACUAUGGACUGUUACAAGAGAGAGACAUGAUCUUCCUUAAGGCAUUGAUUUGUCAUGAGUCUCUUUGUUAUAGCCACUUAACGUUACCUUAAUACACCCACUUCAUGGAUAAGUAAAACUGAGGCUUGGAGAAGCCCACAUUGACACAGCAAAGAAGGCUGGGGCUCUUGUGCUGGUUAAAUGGACCUUGAUGUCUUCCAAAUGUUUUCAUGCUGGAUUCUGAGCCACUCUCCUGGCUGCAACUCUGAGGCCGGGCAGACUUUCCGCUGGAAAGAGAACUCAAAUACUGGUGAGAGGUGGAUUUGAAGCCAGGAGCCCCAGGUUUUGGCUCUGCAGGUUUGCACCCAGCUCUGUGGUGUAUGCCCUCACAGGUCACCCAGGACCUCCUGUCCAGGCUUCUUCAGGCCACCCAUGAUGGAGUAGAUUUGAGGAAUGAGGUUUUCAAAGCAGUUAGUGUGCGGGAGAGUAACCCUGGGGCCUCCGGAACCAGAAGGGAGGGAUUUGGGGGCUGGAGCUUGGCAGUCCAGGUUCCAUUGUCCUCAUGUUCUCCCCACUGGCCUGGCCUGUCACUCCAGUCUCUGCAUAGGUUGUCACAUGGCAUUCUCCCUGUGUGUCUCUGUGUCUCUUCUCUUCUUUAUAAAGACAUAGUUAUAAUGGAUUAGGGCCCACCCUAAAAAAAAAAAAAAAAA
rnacentral:lncRNA from 1 species